rnacentral:rRNA from 1 species
GACGAACGCUGGCGGCGUGCCUAAUACAUGCAAGUCGAGCGAAUCAAUAGGAGCUUGCUCCUGUUGAUUAGCGGCGGACGGGUGAGUAACACGUGGGCAACCUGCCUGUAAGAUCGGGAUAACUUCGGGAAACCGGAGCUAAUACCGGAUAAUCCUUUUCCACAUAUGUGGGAAAGCUGAAAGACGGUUUCGGCUGUCACUUACAGAUGGGCACGCGGCGCAUUAGCUAGUUGGUGAGGUAACGGCUAACCAAGGCGACGAUGCGUAGCCGACCUGAGAGGGUGAUCGGCCACACUGGGACUGAGACACGGCCCAGACUCCUACGGGAGGCAGCAGUAGGGAAUCUUCCGCAAUGGACGAAAGUCUGACGGAGCAACGCCGCGUGAGCGAUGAAGGCCUUCGGGUCGUAAAGCUCUGUUGUUAGGGAAGAACAAGUAUCGGAGUAACUGCCGGUACCUUGACGGUACCUAACCAGAAAGCCACGGCUAACUACGUGCCAGCAGCCGCCGUAA